rnacentral:lncRNA from 1 species
GUCCACUUUAAACCUGCUGUUAAAAUUUGUCUUUUGAGUGACCUUUAAUAAUUGGUUUUAGUUGUUUAUUGCCAAUGUUUCCUAUGUACUGUAUUAUGUUUUCAUUCAUUUCAUAUUUUGUUAAUGCAGUUGUAAUUAUUUUAUUUAAAAACAAAGAAAGAGAGGAAAUAUAAAACCUUGUAUUUCAGGUGUUACUGCAACCUAGUGGCUCCCAGGUGGAAGUAGAACCAGAACUGAAGGCGGAUCCAGUCCUCCACCAUAGCCCGUGUGACAGUAGCAGAGGUAGGAGCUAAGAUGUCUGAUGCUGUGGCUCACACGCUAUGCUGGCUGCUGGUUGUGUUGGUUCUACGUCCUGGGACAGCAGCAGAAACCUCUUUAUGGAGCGUGGACAUCAACUUAGUACAGUGGGGGUCGAUCCUCGGUCUCUGGCUGAAAAGGUUGAGAACCACUGCAUUUAGAGUGAUCAGUGUUUCCUGAGCAGAUCAUCGCCUUUGGACUGAGGAGGAGCCCAAAGACCAUCCUGAUGGAGCCUUUGGACAACAUCUACAGCUUGGUCCAGGAGGAGGAGUGGAACAGUCUUCUUCUUGAUGUUAAUGAUGUGAUAGAGCUCUGUCCAGAGAUUGCAGAUAUGGUGCUCUGGGCCUCUACUGACCCCCUGAUGUCAUCAUCUCCUCCUCCUCCUCCUCCUCCUCCUCCUCCUCCUCCUCCUCCAUCCUCAGCUGAGCUCCAAUCUUACAGCGUGCCAUUCCUCAUGCCUGAAGGAAACAAUUAUUUUCACCUUUUUGGAGAACGGUUAGCAAAGCAAAACAAACAAACAAACAAACAGACCUGAUUGAUCACAGACGUUGGUUCACAUGUUUGUGACAUGAUUUCUCAUCCAGUGUGUUUAUGUUUUUAUCUUUGUAGAGAUCUGGAUGGCGUAGUGGCAGCCAUGCCAUCAGAGGCCCUGGAACCCAUCCCAGUUCCAAAGUGAGUGUCCUUGAGUUGUUUUAAUUGUCUUUUUUCUGAGUGACUCUAGAUCAGAGUGUCUCCCUGCUCUCUCUCUCUACUACUCUCAGCUACUGUUUCCCUGCUCUGCUCACUGUUUGUGUUUGUAGUGGAGGAUGUGGGGCUAGAAGCUCGCAUGUUAAAAUAAAACAGCAACUUUUUGCA